UGCCACACCUAGCUAAUUUUUGUAUUUUUUUUGUAGAGAUGGUGUUUUGCCAUGUUGCACAGGCUAGUCUCAAACUCGCAGACUCCAGUGAUCCAUCUGCUUUAACCAAUCAAAGUGCUGGAAUUACAGGUUUAAGUCUAAAUUUCCAAAGCCUCACACCUGUGGUUUCACCGAAAAGGUACCGCUGCAGGAAACCAGUGAUGGACAAAGGAUGCACGGUAUAGCUAUGAUGUAAGAGCGCCCUCUGCAGGCCACAUGAAGAAACAGAUUGCCUGCCCAGAAGCAACAUGGCUAAUGGGUGCUACUGCGGAGACCCAGGCAACCUGAGAAUAGUCCUGGCAGCCAGACCUCCAGGGUGGAAACGGGAAGAGCAACAGAGAAAGGUCAGGAUUUAACAGGGAAAUGGAGGAGGGCAAGAACAGGGGUCAGGAAGUAUCUAUGCAUUUUGAUAUGAAAUUAAGAAGUUCAUUUAAAAUAUACAGCCAAGGCCCGUGGCACUUUUUGUAACAAGAUGCUAGCUUAUCUUCCCACUAGAUCUUGUUGGACUUUUUUCAAACUGUAUCUGAUUGUGUUUUUCAAACUAGGCCAGGAGGGCCCCUCAACUUCUAAAAUACAAAAAUUCUUUCUGCUCCUCUUUUCAAAUCUUCUCAGAUUCUGGACACACCCAGCAAUUCCAUGUGCCUUUUCAUUCCUUUAAUCCUGUUAACUUUUUGUCUCUUCUUAGCAAUGACUUCCUUUCAUUUUAGAGAAAGUUCUGCUGGUAACAUACUAUAUAAGCCAGGAGAGAAAAAGAACUUGAAAGAGGAACACAAUUUUCUUUUUUUUUUUUUUCAAAAGAGAUAAGGGAAAAAAAUAAAGGAAGAGGAGAAAUAUACUACUCAAUACAGUUGUCAAACAAAUUUCUUGGAACCAUGGCCUACAAGAAUACCUAUCUUAACUGCACUGCACUAGAAACCACAUUUUCAUAUUCCUUUUGUGAUAAUUCUAAGAUAAUGAAUUAGAUGUUAGCCAUUGUUUUCCAGAAUAGAAUUUCUGGAGUUACUGGUAGUUCAGGGAAUUUUAGUCACAAGAUAUAUGUUUUCUAUAGCUUUGUGUGUGUAUAUAUGUGUAUGUGCAUAUAUACUUAUAUACAUGCACAUAUAUACACAUACACAAAAACAUACAUGUGCUAUAGCUUUUGAAUGGAGAUAUAUGUGUACAUACACACACACACACACAAACACAUUCAUUCAGUCAUUUAUAUUAUACAGCUUCCCUGAAGACCAACAGAAGAAAAAUGCAGGAAAUAUAAAGGCAACCUGGGGUCAGUCCUAUGCAGUGAGCUCUUUGAGGUCUCUAUUAGAAAUAAAAGAUUUCAGUCUUUUUUGGCUGGGCACAGUGGCUCACGCCUGUAAUCCUAACACUUUGGGAGGCCAAGGUGGGAGGAUUAACAAAAAAUACAAAAAUUAGCCGGGGGUGGUGGUAGGAGCCUAUAGUCCCAGCUACCUGGGAGGCUAAGGUAGGAGGAUCACCUGAGCCAGGGAGACAGAGGCUGCGGUGGGCCAUGAUCACGCCACUGCACACCAGCCUGGGUGACAGAGUGAGACCCUGUCCUAAAAAAAAAAAAAAAUCAAUCUUUUCAUAGUUAUUCAAAUUAAAACAACAAAAUAGAGAUGUGAAGACUUGGCUCAGGAAGAUUCAGUCAUCUCAACAGUCACUGUAAAGAACUGCCAUCAGACUCCUUUUGACUCUAAAUGGAAAAGGAUACCAACACUGUUCUUCCUAGGAAGCUAAUCUAUAGUUAAAAUAUGCACAUUACAUAGCUCUGUGUAUGUACAGUGUUGUAAUUGUUUAACAAAGCGGAGAUACUAAAUGCACUCAGUGCAUAAAACAUGUUUUAUUUAAAAUAGAGAAGAAAUUCCUGAGGAAACAAUAAAAUCAAGGAUGUUACAGUAAUUUCAUGAGCCAUCCAGAUAUAAUUACCAACCAAUAAAAAUAAAAUAUUUCAUAAUGCUCUCAGUUUUCUUUAAAUAUUGGCUUAUAAGACAUUGUUCUGUUAUUUUCUUUGGUUAAAACAAAGUUUUUAAAAUCAGUAUCUCAUACCUGUUAGUAUGUAUUAGUAGGAAACCUUUAUAAUAAAGGAAUUUUAUGUGCAAAAGCUGCCUCGUUUCCAGCUCUGGGGCAUUCAGGGAGCGCAAACCUCAGGGGCAUCAUUGUGGCCCAAAGAACCUGGGGAUUGAGUUGAUGGGGCCUAAGGGCCUAAACAACACAGUUAAAGAUGGAGAAGCAGGCCGGGUGCAGUGGCCUCCCCAAGGCAGACAGAUCACCUGAGGUCAGGAGUUCGAGACCAGCCUG